rnacentral:rRNA from 1 species
UACGGGGGGGGCAAGCGUUGUUCGGAAUUACUGGGCGUAAAGGGCUCGUAGGUGGCCAACUAAGUCAGACGUGAAAUCCCUCGGCUUAACCGGGGAACUGCGUCUGAUACUGGAUGGCUUGAGUUUGGGAGAGGGAUGCGGAAUUCCAGGUGUAGCGGUGAAAUGCGUAGAUAUCUGGAGGAACACCGGUGGCGAAGGCGGCAUCCUGGGCCAACACUGACACUGAGGAGCAAAAGCCAGGGGAGCAAACGGG